rnacentral:tmRNA from 1 species
GGGGCUGUUAUACGGUUUUCGACGGUUGAAAUAUAUGUAAACUAAUUAAACAAUGUUUAAAUUCAAUUUCUAAACAAAGCAAGCUUGUUUUGCUUAGCUUUCUGAGAAUUUUACUACCGAAAAGGUUUAUAAUUUUAAAAACUAAUUUUAGAAAAUAUUUAUAAAUAUUUUCUAAAUAGUAAUAAUUAUAAUUGUAUAUAUUAAACUUUAAUUGUAUACUAAAUAAAAUAGUUUUAGUUUUCAAUCGGAUGUAGGUUCAACUCCUACCAGCUCCA